AGAGUUUGAUCCUGGCUCAGAUUGAACGCUGGCGGCAUGCUUUACACAUGCAAGUCGAACGGCAGCGGGGGCUUCGGCCCGCCGGCGAGUGGCGAACGGGUGAGUAAUGCAUCGGAACGUGCCCAGUCGUGGGGGACAACUAGUCGAAAGAUUAGCUAAUACCGCAUACGACCUGAGGGUGAAAGCAGGGGAUCUUCGGACCUUGUGCGAUUGGAGCGGCCGAUGUCAGAUUAGCUAGUUGGUAGGGUAAAGGCCUACCAAGGCGACGAUCUGUAGCGGGUCUGAGAGGAUGAUCCGCCACACUGGGACUGAGACACGGCCCAGACUCCUACGGGAGGCAGCAGUGGGGAAUUUUGGACAAUGGGCGCAAGCCUGAUCCAGCCAUUCCGCGUGAGUGAAGAAGGCCUUCGGGUUGUAAAGCUCUUUCAGUUGGAACGAAACGGUACGCUCUAACAUAGCGUGCUAAUGACGGUACCGACAGAAGAAGCACCGGCUAACUACGUGCCAGCAGCCGCGGUAAUACGUAGGGUGCGAGCGUUAAUCGGAAUUACUGGGCGUAAAGCGUGCGCAGGCGGAUUGUUAAGCAAGACGUGAAAUCCCCGGGCUUAACCUGGGAAUGGCGUUUUGAACUGGCAGUCUAGAGUGUGUCAGAGGGGGGUGGAAUUCCACGUGUAGCAGUGAAAUGCGUAGAUAUGUGGAGGAACACCGAUGGCGAAGGCAGCCCCCUGGGAUAACACUGACGCUCAUGUACGAAGGCGUGGGUAGCAAACAGGAUUAGAUACCCUGGUAGUCCACGCCCUAAACGAUGUCAACUGGUUGUUGGGGGAGUGAAAUCCCUUAGUAACGAAGCUAACGCGUGAAGUUGACCGCCUGGGGAGUACGGUCGCAAGAUUAAAACUCAAAGGAAUUGACGG
rnacentral:rRNA from 1 species